ACCUUCGGGUCUAGUGGCGCACGGGUGCGUAACGCGUGGGAAUCUGCCCUGGGGUACGGAAUAACUCAGAGAAAUUUGAGCUAAUACCGUAUGAUGACGUAAGUCCAAAGAUUUAUCGCCCUGGGAUGAGCCCGCGUAGGAUUAGCUUGUUGGUGAGGUAAAGGCUCACCAAGGCGACGAUCCUUAGCUGGUCUGAGAGGAUGAUCAGCCACACUGGGACUGAGACACGGCCCAGACUCCUACGGGAGGCAGCAGUGGGGAAUAUUGGACAAUGGGCGAAAGCCUGAUCCAGCAAUGCCGCGUGAGUGAUGAAGGCCUUAGGGUUGUAAAGCUCUUUUACCCGGGAAGAUAAUGACUGUACCGGGAGAAUAAGCUCCGGCUAACUCCGUGCCAGCAGCCGCGGUAAUACGGAGGGAGCUAGCGUUGUUCGGAAUUACUGGGCGUAAAGCGCACGUAGGCGGCUUUGUAAGUUAGAGGUGAAAGCCUGGGGCUCAACUCCAGAAUUGCCUUUAAGACUGCAUCGCUUGAAUCAUGGAGAGGCGGGUGGAAUUCCGAGUGUAGAGGUGAAAUUCGUAGAUAUUCGGAAGAACACCAGUGGCGAAGGCGGCCCGCUGGACAUGUAUGACG
rnacentral:rRNA from 1 species